UUUCUAUCCUUUCUUGUGAAAGGUUGUUGCUAUCUAAUAACUGCUAAGGAAAAAAUUAAUGGCAUUUGUGAGGUGGUCUUCAUAGCAUAUGGAUAGUAGGGGUUGGCAGCAUCAGGAGAAGCACUUCUAAUCAGAGAUUCCCAAUCUUUUGGAGUGUUUUGUGAGCCCUGAUCCUUGGAAAUAGACAGUGGGCUCACAGUGACAGGAGUCAGGAGUCUCCCUUCUGUUAUGUAAUGCUUGAAAACAGUCACCAAAUGAGAUCCUCAGCUGCCUUUGGGUUCAGUCUCCAGGCACCAGCUCCAAGAUGAAGCUUUUUCCUAUGCGGAUCCUAGCCAGGGAACCUCACCAAUAAACAAGGAAACAGCUUAGUGAGGUUAUCUCCUUCCAGAAUCAAACAGCUGCAGAACAAGAGGCUGUGCAAUUUAGUUUUUAAGUGCAGGAAAAAGCUAUGAUGUCAAACAGGCUUUAUUCAGAGAUGCUGCUGCACCAAAAUGCAGGAUAUUGAGCCCCUAGAUUAUUUCAUCCUCUGCUAUGCACAGAAAACAAAUGGUCAAGGAAGAAACAGCUGCUGCAAUUGGAGGAAAAAUAUGUGAGCUCACAAAGGAGAAAGGAAUACUUUCUAUUUGCAUGUAAGACAGAUUUAACACUAAUUCAACCUCAAAAGCAUGUAAUAAAAUCUAUAUUUCCUACUCUUUGCUAUC